CGGCCUCUCCCGCGGCGCGGCACGCGGGGAGGAGGCUGGCGCCGUGAACCUGGGCACCGUCUGUCGGUGGGACGGGAGGAACGAAUGCCACAGACGUUCUAGGAGGCCUGUGGGCUGCUGCUGUGGACGGAACACUUGCACGAACUGGACCAUCACCGGGGGCUGCGUCUGCCCGGGGCCUUGAUCCCGCCCUUGAUCCCUGCCCGGGGCCUUGAUCCAGGCCUCCCCACCUCUGCAAGCAACUGUGCCCGGGCCUGCCUGGUUUGUGGCCUUCCGUCACAUCAGCCUGAGUGGUGAAGGGGCCGAAAGAAAAUGCCCUGAUGUCCGCCGAUGGGCAGCAAAGGGACUAGUCCGCGGCUGUGCACCCACACCACAGGCCACCACAGACCACCCCUCAGCCCGCGGGACACUCCCAGCAGCUGGGGGUGUGUGUGUGUGGCAGUCUCAGCAACAAGGGAAGCAGCUGCGGAAGUCCUUCUACCCGGUGCUUCUGACUACAUGACAUACUCCAUGACAUACUGGCCCUUCUAGGCCCAGCAGCAUCCAGAAACGUCGGUUACGGUUACGCCACAACAGCUGCCUGGCGCCCCCUGAAUGCCUCAGAUGUGGUCCGUGGCGGGAGCCCCGAGCCAACAUGCUGCCACUAGGUGAAUCGGGCCUGCCAUUAGAGUCACAAAGACCAAU